rnacentral:rRNA from 1 species
CCUGGCUCAGGAUGAACGCUAGCGACAGGCUUAACACAUGCAAGUCGAGGGGCAGCACAGGUAGCAAUACCGGGUGGCGACCGGCGCACGGGUGAGUAACGCGUAUGCAACUUACCUAUCAGAGGGGGAUAACCCGGCGAAAGUCGGACUAAUACCGCAUGAAGCNGGGGAAAAAAACCCCGCAUGGGGAUAUUUGCUAAAGAUCUAUCGCUGAUAGAUAGGCAUGCGUUCCAUUAGG